CUUCAAGUCAGGCUCGGCUAAACUCUGAAGACUGUGCUCGCAGGCAUCCUGGCUUUGUGAAAUGCUGUUUCCAGCUUUCUCCAGCACCCCCAUGUCCUGUAAAAGGCAGUGAGUGGAUCUAGGCCUCUAGACUAAAUACGGAGAAUAUACAGAGAAUACAAGGAAAAGAAGGCCUCGUUCCGGACUUCAGGGAGCAUGUGGGCCAGUAACUUCUGACUGCGGGCCUGCUCGCUCUGCACCUCAGCAAACUCCGCCCCCCUCCCCAACGCCUGUCCCCUCCACUAGGACGUUCUGGAACUAAUCUGUCUCUCAUCUGUACAUGUAGCACAAGGGAAAAAGAAAUCAAGGUUGAACACCAUUUUCUUUGCUAUGCACAAUAUUCUGAACCCCGGCAAGU
rnacentral:lncRNA from 1 species